CAGAUAGAGACAAUCCCUGCCCAAUGACGGGUUCACAGUCUAAUCGGGGGAGACAGACGGACAAAAACAAAACAUUAGCCCAGACGAUAAAUAGCAUCAAGUGGAUGUACACCUCGUUAACAAAAUAAAUAGGGUAAUAAAUGUGCAGAGCACUGUACUAGGCGCUUGGGAUGUGCUUCUCAGGCUAUACUGACCCUAUUCACUGACCAUUUAUCUCCCCGCUCCAGCCUCGGGAGCCUAAGUGCAGGAAGAGAGGGGCAAGCAGCUGAACACCACCCCACACACUUCCCAGUUCCCUCCCCGGGCUCCUCUCAGUUCUCACCAGCAUGGUGACUACAAAAUCGAAGAUGUUCCAGGCGUUCAUCCAGAAGGCGUAGAAGUUGGACAUCCACAUGAAAGCAAACUCCAGGAGAAAAAUAAGCAGGCUGUACCAGGCCAACACCUCCAAAGUCAGCAUUACGGUCUCCAGGUUAGGGUCAUCCAUGUCCGUCAACUCUGUCUCCGCCGAUUGAGGAUACAGUCGGCCCACAGAGAAAGCGGGGGCCACUUGCUGCAUCGCAACUUCAGGCGGCACUGUUGCCGCUUGGCGUUGGUAAUGAAGUUGCUGUGCACAGGCUUGAUGGUGAAGCGUACCAGCUGGUGAUGAUCCCCCUGCAGCAGCCUCCUCUGGAGCUGGGGAUCGAAAAACUCGUCGAGGUUGUGGUGGGGCACAGCCUGGCUUAGGCCCUGAAGAUGCUCGAUGAGGGAGAAGGUGUCGAUGAGGCAGGAGCACACGGCGUCCGCCCGCCGCUGCACCUGUGACAUGGAGAUCAAGGGCUCCUGGAAUUUGGCCAUAUUCUCCAGCGUGGGUGGGCCCGGGCUGAGGUCUGAGGGCUGAGGUCACUGAGGCACAGAAAAGUUAAGUGACUUGCCCACAGUCACACAGCUGACAAGUGGCAGAGCUGGGAUCUGCUGUGUGACCUUGGGUAAGUCACUUAACUUUUCUGUGCCUCAGAGACCUCAUCUGGAAAAUGGGGGUGAAGACUGUGUGUCCCACGUGGGACAGGGACAAGGUUCAAUCAGCUGGUAUCUACCCUGGCGCUUAAAAGAGUGCUUGACAGAUAGUAAGUGCUUAACUAGCACCAUCAUCAUGCCCAUUUUUCAGAGGAGGGAAUUGAGGCCCAGAGAAGUAAAGUGAUUUGUGGACAGGUGGCGGAGUGGGGAUUAGAACUCACAACCUUCGGACUCCCAGGCCAG
rnacentral:lncRNA from 1 species